rnacentral:rRNA from 1 species
CCUACGGGAGGCAGCAGUGAGGAAUAUUGGUCAAUGGGCGUAAGCCUGAACCAGCCAAGUAGCGUGAGGGAUGACUGCCCUACGGGUUGUAAACCUCUUUUAUCAGGGAAUAAAGUGAGGCACGUGUGCCUUUUUGUAGGUACUUUAUGAAUAAGGAUCGGCUAACUCCGUGCCAGCAGCCGCGGUAAUACGGAGGGUGCCAGCGUUACUCGGAAUGACUGGGGGUAAAGGGCGCGUAGGCGGGAUAGCAAGGCCGAUGUGAAAUCUGGAGGCUCAACCUCCGAAUUGCAGUUGAAACUGGUUUUCUUGAGUGCGCGAGAGGCAGACGGAAUUCGUUGUGUAGCAGUGAAAUGCGUAGAUAUCGCGAGGAACACUCGUGGCGAAGGCAGGUUCCUGGAGCUUAACUGACGCUGAGGCACGAAGGCCAGGGGAGCGAAAGGGAUUAGAUACCCCAGUAGUC